rnacentral:rRNA from 1 species
UACGUAGGGGGCAAGCGUUGUCCGGAUUUAUUGGGCGUAAAGAGCGUGUAGGCGGCCUGAAAGGUCAGCUGUGAAAACUCGAGGCUCAACCUCGAGACGUCGGUUGAAACCAUCUGGCUAGAGUCCGGAAGAGGAGAGUGGAAUUCCCGGUGUAGCGGUGAAAUGCGCAGAUAUCGGGAAGAACACCCGUGGCGAAGGCGGCUCUCUGGGACGGUACUGGACGCUGAGACGGCGAAAAGCGUGGGGAGCGAACAGG